rnacentral:rRNA from 1 species
UACGUAGGGUGCAGGCGUUAAUCGGAAUUACUGGGCGUAAAGCGUGCCUAGGCGGUUUGUUAAGACAGGUGUGAAAUCCCCGGGCUUAACCUGGGAACUGCGCUUGUUACUGGCAGACUUGAGUGUGGCAGAGGGGGGUGGAAUUCCAGGUGUAGCAGUGAAAUGCGUAGAUAUCUGGAGGAACACCGAUGGCGAAGGCAGCCCCCUGGGCUAACACUGACGCUCAUGCACGAAAGCGUGGGGAGCAAACAGG